AGAAAACAAACAAACCCAAAGGGAAGUGUGCCUAAGGCAGGAUAAUACGAGGAAAGGGCCGACGCACAUUUGUAACGAGGCGCGACGAUCGACUUGAAAUCAUCAGCACAGCGUCUUCUCUCUUUUGCCUUUUUGCCGUUGUAGCCGCCACCUAAGCAAGCAGCGGGAAAGCAAAGCGGCGUGCAUGUGCUCGUUCGCGGCACACCGCCCCAUCCGACUCCGCUGCAUACAAGCAAGCUGAAACGAAAAAAAAAAUAUAUAUAUAUAUACAUAUACUGUAAAAGCAGUUUGCGCGAAAUCAGGUCACACAUCGUGGACUCAAAGCAGGCGUGCGGAGGCGUUGUGUGUGGACUGUUCGUUGCAAAUUAGAGUGCUUGUGGGCCUCGUGUUCGCAGCAGCGCCUCCUUCUCCCUCUAGCUCCCUGCUGGUUUACCUGCCGUGGUCGCUUGUGUGUGCGUGCCUGUGUGAUCGCUAGAUUGUUGGACCGUAUUGGCUAUCAUUGUCGAGAAGGACCCACUAUGUCUCUCUUCGGCGCAGAUGCGGCCCCCUCGGCAGCGGCGUCUCUGCUGCCUGCGUCCCUGGACGCGUCGCAGACAGCCCGUCAGGCAGCACCUCGUUCUGGUGUAGCGUCAUCGCAGCAGCCGAGCACGUUGGGCGUGUCAUGUGCGGAUAGGACGGGCACGCAGCUCAGCGUACUUGAGUCGUUGGCGAACCUCUUCAGCUGCCGAGAGGUCAAGGCACCAAGUUUGGCAGUGGCUCUGCUCCCUCGUAUGGGAAGCUCGGCAGAUGGCGACGCGGGUGAGGACCACGUAGACGAAAGUGACUACAUAGUGGAAACACUCGCGGCAGCACCCUACUCUGUCUUGAGCGAUGCCUCCAGCAACAGCUCCAUCUCGUUGUUGCCAGGACUGAACGGCUCCGCCGUGUCUUUGCCGAUGCAGCCGUCCGUCUCAAAGCGGCAAGUGCGCUCACAUGCCUUGCACUUGCUCGAGGAGUCGCCGCAACAGCAGUCUUCGGCGCGUGAGCUCGCUUCUCUAACAAAGGUGCUGAGCGUAUUGAGCGCGAUUCUGCAGCGAUCCCGCCGAGCGCACCAGCGCUCGCGCAACUUUGGGCGCCUACUGACCUUGCUCACAGACGGGCGGUUUGCUGCGACGGCUGCAGAGCAUAUGCAGACACUUUGGCUGCGUUGCGGUGGACAUGCAUCGUCGCUUGGCGCGCAAGCCGGCGAAGACGCGGCGCUGUCCCUCUACUGCGACGUUCUGCUCCUGAUCGCGUACCACGCGAGGAUGGCGGACCCGAGCGACACGGUAUCGUCCAGCCUCGUAGUCGCCGAAGAGGCGCUGGCGUCCUUGUACGCCGUCAACAGAGACAUGGGCACCGAACUUGUCAGGGCAGCGGCGCAUCGCCCAGCCUACCUGCGUCGCAGCGUUGCCUCUCUCACCGCUUUCUGCAUUCUUCAGGCGGGUCGUCUGUCCCACAAGGUGCUUGAGGACGCGCUGCAAAACCUCGAACUCGGCGCUGCAGCACGGGCAAACAUGGCGCACAUGGCCUUCAUGGCAGCGCUCCCGACGUCAUUUCCACAGAUGACGCAGACGUGGCAGUGCCGCGCACUCGAGGUACUUCGCAAGGCCACCUUGUAUGACGCCGCUGCGGACAUUGUCAGCUGCACUGACGGUGCCGCCGCUGUCUCUGUGAUCAGGCGAAUCAGCACGUGGGUACACGGAUACGCCAUGCAGAGCCUCUUGUCAGUCAUGUCGGAGGCGGCGUGGUGCUACUGCACGGCUGAUACGCUGCUCCACAUUAGCCGUGCUGUGAGCGUGUACGGGGCAACGUGGACGGCGUACUCGGAGAGCUAUAUGAGCCUUAUCAGUUUUCUGCAUCGCGCCCUCACCCGGUACGAGUGCUCUUACGCGCAGGAGGAGUCGAUGGCGUUGAAAGUGCCGGUGCUGAGUGCUCCGAAGUCGAUCCUAGCAGGGUCGUCAAGCGCAACUCUUCCCGCUAACCGACAGGUGGGCUGGCGCUCCGCGCGAUCGGCCGCACCGUCGGUGGAGUCACUGAUGCGACACCCCGUUCUCGGUGCCGCAGGAGUGGACAACGACACGCCAGAGUCGAACCGGCAGGGAGGGCAGGAGAGUAGCACCUACUCUGCGUUUCAUCUCAGCGGUGGCUUUGCGGAAGGCGAUGGCGCGCUUAGCGACGCUGAUGGCACCCCAGAAUCCUUCCUAGCACGGUGCGAGGCGGAGACCGAUUCUCCCCGCAGCUUUGUCUUCUACCUGUCUUUGCUGGCGUACGUGACAUCGGCUCUGCCGUCGCUGCUGGGCUCUCUGGGAGAACUCCGUCUCUUCUUUUACCUACCCCACUCUCCUCGCAGUGCUGCGGUUGGCAACGGCGCCGCCUCGGACCGCGCCGCUGAGACAACAGACCCACCAGUCGCGGCGUCAGGAACGGGGCGCCACCUUUUCGCCCUGUGCAUGGAUCUCCUGCGUGCAAGCCUAGCCUCCGCCCUCGCUCACUCCGCAGACCAGUGGAGCCUGCGCGAUCGGCCAAAGCGUCUGCUCUGCGAAUCUGCGACGACGCUCUUGUGCGCCUUCAUGUGUCGAUUUCCGCAUUCGCUGCAGCAACUGGAGGCAGAGACCGGCGCCACGCAUUUGAUCGGCCUCGUGAACCAGGUGGUGACAACCAUUAUCAAGGCGCCAAGCCCUUCGCUAAGGAUGAAGCGGCUCGCGUACAGCCUGCUGCAGCGCUACGCAUCUGCCGUGGAUGCCUUAGGCGAUAUAAUGGCGCAGCUCUUGGCUCCGUCGCACUGGGCAGCGCUGCGGUUGGGCGAUGAGUACGUCGAGGCCGACCUGCGUGCUUGUGUGCAGCUCUGCCAGCAUUUGUGCCGUACCGUGUACCAACUGUCUCCUGCAGCGCCUGGCCGUCUCGUUUCGUUGCUUGCGGAACUGCCGUCAGGCGCCUUUAGUUGCUCCUCCGAUGGUGCGGCGACGGCCACCACACUGGUACACACCAUCUUCACCUUGGUGGAGGACCAUUCCGAGGACGCGGCGGUGUUUGGUGGCGUGACGGUGCCACAGCUGCCACAGCUUAUUGGUCGCCUGGGAGAGGCGCUCGACACAUUGGCGAACGCGUACGCCAGGGGAUACUGGGUGGCCGGCGGGGAGUCGACGUGGUGCUCCGUGUGUGCCACCGCCUCGCUCCUCUACAAAGCCGUGCUGCUCUACCGCGCGCCUGCGCUGGUCGCGACGACCGUCUUUCCUGCACGGUGGGGCCCCCAAGGGCGCGGCAGCGGUGGUAGCGUGAUGGCCGAGGUGUGCCAGGGUGGUGGUGGCCGUCGUUCGCGCAGCGGGGUGCACGUACUCCUGCAGCUGCUUUGCGAGGAUUCCCUGGCGCCGGUGCAUCAUGUUGUGACGGAGCUUCUCGUAGCAGCCCUGCAUGCAACCGCCCUCCAUCACACCUCGGAGUUCAUGCUCCGGACGUUCCGUUCACACCUGUCUCCGUGCGAGGUCGUCAUGGUUACCCAGCGGGUGUUGCAGGUGCAGCAGGACAGCCUGGGGUCGCCCUCGAAUGCAAUGCGAGUGGAGGUGGUGCAGGCAAUGGCCAUGUGGUGCCCGGCGCUAUUCCUCUUUCUGUUUGGGCCAGAGAAGCGUGUGGUAUGCGAGGACGACGACGCUAGUGAGGUUGCUGCACAGGGGCAAAGCUUGGGUGACGACGGCCACAGUGGCAGCGGCGGCGUUAGCCGGGCAGCGGCGCAGCCGGCAGAUCUGCCGCUCAUGCAGUUGCUGGUGGCAACGGUGCGCUCAGACAAGGCGGCCUUGUACGAGAAGGCGCUCGCGCUGAACAUCCUUCGGUACAGCGGUAUGUCAAGGCUUGUGGAGGUGCAGGAGAUUUUGUCCCUCAUGCCACGCGAGGACAUCAACGCGACAAGGACGAACCCUGGCCGCGAUGGGGGCGAGUGGGAGGAGGCGACGUUGGCGGUGGCCUGUGUGGCCUAUGUGAAUGCGAGAGUCGCGCUGGAGCUGUCCAGGUCGAGGCAGGCUAACUCAGCUGUGGACAACGCCGGCGGCGGAGAGGUGGAUGGCAGCAGCAGAGCGACCGCUUCAACUCGAGACAGCACCCCCGCUCCACCGCAGCAGCAGCGCCGGUCAACGCUGGCGCCCCCGUCGCCGUUCGCAACGGCAACAGCUCGUCCGUUGCAGGCUGCCCGUAGCAAGGUGCUCGCUGCGUACACGGAUAUCAUGGAUCAACUGCUCCGCCACGGCGCCGCCGCUAUGCAGCGUGUGCACAGCCUGUUCGAUGCGGAGCGGUGCGACGUGGACUAUGACGAACAGACGAACUGGUUGGUGCGGCAGGCGACGAGUAUGAUCUUGGGCGAAAACCCGGACGUCAGCGCCAGUGUUGUCUUUCCGCGCAGCGGCGCAACGACGGCAUCGAGACGUUUGGCAGGUGGGAGCUCUCGCGACAGCAUUGACACCCUUCUUCAUGGAGUAUCGCAGGGCAGCGUUCUGAGUCGCUGUGUUGUGCCAACGGCUCUCGCUGCUGCCACUGCUGCCCGUGCCCAUGGUGAGCUACUGAAUACGACGACCUUUUUGCAAACCCUGUCUAGCGAAAACGUCGAGGUGUUCGCGGCGUGCCAGCGGCUCUUCCCCGUGGGCACCGCCUCUACACGCUUCUUCCGCGGCACCGGUGACGAUCGCCGGCUCAACAACCUUGCCGCACAGCUGGACACAAUGGCAGACUUGGCAACUGUGCUUGAGCAGCUAUUGUGGCUCAGUGGCGUUGACACGAGCACGGCAGGCCUAUUCGUCAAGCGAACCCAACAGCUGCUCGAGUGCGCCGUUGAGUCGGUGCUGUCCUGCCAGCCGGGAUCGCCACUGUUGGCCUCAUUCCUCACGCGUCAGGUGCAGCAGCAGCUGCGUCUCGCCAAGGCGGCCGCGAGUAUCUUGGAGACGGCUGUCGGCGGCGACGCAACCGAGCUCUUCGAAAUGAGGCCGACCGCGCAGCACUCACUGCGGCGUCUGGUGGCGUUUGCCAAGGCGAAUCGCAGGAACAUGUUUGUCCUGGAGGGGGUGCUCCCAGUUGUCACUGCGUUUCCACUGGCCACGUUUGCCGCCUGCGCUGCCGUGGAGGAGUUGAUGGGGAUGGUGCAGGGUGCCCUGUACGGCAAGCUGCGGCAAUCCUCCUGGACGCCAGAGACGCUGGACGUGCUGGACAAGCUGGUGAACGGCUGCACACGCGUCUUCAGUCGGCCACGCUCUGAUAGGGGUAGCGACGCAGUGCUCGUCAGUCGCCUGCUUCCGACCUUGCUGCAGGUUGCGUCGCGCCUCGCGCGAUUUGUCCAGCCAACGCAGCCGAGCAACGCCGACACUCUCCGUUUUGUGCGCGUUGUGGAGUGCGUUACCUGUGUUAUUGCCCACUGCGGCGGGCAAACGGCGGUGUUGGGCUUCGUGGACGAGGAUGUUCUUCUCGGCUUCCUGCAGGCGAUAGGUCAGUUCUCCACCUCCUCUGUUUACGAUACGGCCGCGCAGCGGCACCUGCGUCUAGCGUGGAACGUGUGCUGGCUUGCACUCCUCUCCUUGUGGUGCACGAUUGUGUCAGUGCGCGGGCAGUACAACGCAAUCGCGUCAGGUUGGGUGCCAUCUCUAAAAGCGGCGCUGCUGAGCAGCCCGCGCUUUGCUGCUGCUCUUAGCGCCUUCGCCGGCGGGCGCGGAGGCGACCGGGGCGGGCUGCUGCUCUGGGAGGUGGAAGAGGUGGACGCGUGCACACGACUUGCCGCAGUGCUGGCGGCUCAGAACGUCCUCCUCGAGAAACUCACGCCGUGUGUUCAGGCAGGCUUUGUGUUUUUCCGCCAACCUCACUUACACCAGCAAUGCGUGGUGUCGGUGCCGAGUGCGGAGGCCGUGAUCAGUGAAGGCAGGCGGAUCACGAUCGCCCAGGCGUAUGUGCUGCGCAACGAGCUUACAAUCCUGCUGAAGCAGGCAUCCUAUGCCGUUCCCCGUGAUGGCGCCACGCUGGCAGCCUUUGUGUUUCCGUUAGAGCUGCUAGGGCAGACGGCGGAGCUGGCGAGCCCCGCCAACCUCACCGACGGCGCCGUGGCCGCCGCCUCGACAGCCACGUCGCUUGUGUACUCGCUGGACCUCUUGCGCCAGUUCACCGUGCGGGAGCUGCAGGUUCUCCGGAAGGUCACCGCCGCGACUGCACCCGGUGGCGCUGGACUCGAGCGCUCCCCGAAUGUGGGCUACACCAACCUUGCAUCGCGCGAGUCGAGCGUUACGCGGUCCCCCAGCAGGGGGCCGCUUGUCGGCGACGCUGACACCGUUACUGACGUGGAUGACUCCUUCGCAGUGGACGGCCAGGUCGACGUCGCGACAGACGUGCAAUCGGUGCAUCUCGAGACUGUGCAGCUUGCCUUGACGGCCUACGCCCUGACGGUGCAGGACUUCAUCCAAAAUGCGAGCCGCGCCCCUGGAAUGUUGUACACGGCAGCGGUGCUCCAGGGGGUGCGGCACUCCACCGAGCGCCUCGUUCGCACACUGCGAAGUCUCGUGAAGGACCUCGGCGAGGUGCGUUGGCCGCUGCUUAGUCGCGUGGUGCAAGGGCAGACUGCGCGGCUUCAGCACCUCAUCGAGUACCUGUAAAGGUUCUCUCAGGAGCGCGCCUGUGUUUCUGUGCGUUGUUUGCCGUCUGAGAGGGUGUGCGCUGCGUUGUCUUCCUCUCUUUCUUUGUCGGUGUGCCUUUGGCUCACUCCUCGUGGAGGUCUUUUCGGUAGUGGAAUGAAGAAUAAGCUCUGCGUGUGCGUGGUGGUGGGUGUGACAUGCAGGAAUGUGGCGGACUCGAGCGUGUUUGUAUGUGUGUGUGUGAGAGAGAGACGCAUCAUACCUUUCGCACACACGCACAAACGUGCAAGAGGAACAACUCAUGACUGGCCAGAGAACUUGCAAACAGGAAUGGAAAAAGGGAGACGAAGAAGGAAGACACAUCUGCGCUGCUCGGCGAGGAAAGUGCACCGCCUCAAUCCCCUGUUGCUGCAGUGGCUACGGGAAUAAAACACAAGCAGCAAGC
rnacentral:misc_RNA from 1 species